GCUUAGAGUUUGAUCCUGGCUCAGGAUGAACGCUGGCGGUAUGCCUAACACACGCAAGUCGAACGAAAUCUUCGGAUUGAGUGGCGGACGGGUGAGUAACGCGUGAGAAUCUGCCUUCAGGAUGGGGACAACAGUUAGAAAUGACUGCUAAUACCCAAUGUGCCGCAAGGUGAAAGUUUUUCGCCUGAAGAGGAGCUCGCGUCCGAUUAGCUAGUUGGGGUGGUAAAAGCGCACCAAGGCAACGAUCGGUAGCUGGUCUGAGAGGAUGAGCAGCCACACUGGGACUGAGACACGGCCCAGACUCCUACGGGAGGCAGCAGUGGGGAAUUUUCCGCAAUGGGCGCAAGCCUGACGGAGCAGUACCGCGUGAGGGAGGAAGGCUUUUGGGUUGUAAACCUCUUUUCUCAAGGAAGAAGAACUGACGGUACUUGAGGAAUCAGCAUCGGCUAACUCCGUGCCAGCAGCCGCGGUAAUACGGAGGAUGCAAGCGUUAUCCGGAAUUAUUGGGCGUAAAGCGUCCGCAGGUGGUACAUCAAGUCUGCUGUCAAAGACUAGGGCUUAACCCUGGAAAGGCAGUGGAAACUGAUGAACUAAGAGUACGGUAGGGGUAGAGGGAAUUCCCAG
rnacentral:rRNA from 1 species